AUCACUUCUCAGCCUUUUGACUAAGGUCAAGUGUAGUAUCUGUUCUUAUCAGUUUAAUAUCUGAUAUGUCCUCUAUCCGAGGACAAUAUAUUAAAUGGAUUUUUGGAGCAACAAGAUGGAAUAGGAGCUUGAUCUGUCUACUCCACACCUCAACCUGGUAGUGCAGUACUUCCAGGAAUGGUGCAUCCCGU
rnacentral:snRNA from 1 species